GCGGCCGAUUAGGUAGUUGCUGGGGUAACGUCCCAACAAGCCGAUAAUCGGUACGGGUUGUGAGAGCAAGAGCCCGGAGAUGGAUUCUGAGACACGAAUCCAGGUCCUACGGGGCGCAGCAGGCGCGAAAACUUUACACUGCGCGAAAGCGCGAUAAGGGGACCUCGAGUGCGUGCGCAAAGCGUACGCUUUUCAGAUGCCUAAAAAGCAUCUGGAAUAAGGGCCGGGCAAGACCGGUUCCAGCCGCCGCGGUAACACCGGCGGCUCAAGUGGUGGCCGCUAUUAUUGGGCUUAAAGGGUCCGUAGCCGGACCAGUUAGUCCCUUGGGAAAUCUUACGGCUUAACCGUAAGGCUGCCAAUGGAUACUGCUGGUCUUGGGACCGGGAGAGGCAAGAGGUACCUCAGGGGUAGGAGUGAAAUCCUGUAAUCCUUGAGGGACCGCCAGUGGCGAAGGCGUCUUGCUAGAACGGGUCCGACGGUGAGGGACGAAAGCUAGGGGCACGAACCGGAUUAGAUACCCGGGUAGUCCUAGCCGUAAACGAUGCGAGCUAGGUGUCACGUGGAUUGCGAAUCCAUGUGGUGCCGAAGGGAAACCGUGAAGCUCGCCGCCUGGGAAGUACGGCCGCAAGGCUGAAACUUAAAGGAAUUGGCGGGGGAGCAC
rnacentral:rRNA from 1 species